UGGUAUGUUGUUCUUAAUGGUUUCUUACUGUUUAUUGGUGGUUUAGGAUGGAAGAGGUUGAAAACCAUUUUAGUCUUAUUUUCCUUUACAGGUAUAAGAAAGUUGGGUACUUGGAUACUGAUGUUGGGCAACUUGAGUUUAGUCCUCCUGGGUUUCCAUCUCUCCCUGUGCUACAUGAAGUCACUCCAGACAAUUGUUUGGUUUCUGCAAAUUUUUUUUUUUUUGGUGUGGUUGCUUCAUAGAACAUUAAGCUUUUUGUUGUUUAUGCUUCAAUCUGAUAAUAUUUAUUAAUUCAGGAGUUUUGGUUGGAGUUUUAACUUUUUGGUGGCCAACUGGUCAUAGAGUGCUGAUCAACAUGGUUAAGCCUUUCACAAAGGAUGAUAUGUGCCAUUGUUUUGGUUGCCUGUUUCUCAUGAGAAAACUGUCUCACAAGAUCUGGAGUUGGAAUUGUUUUUGCGGGCAUGUCUCUAUGAACUGAACCUUUCAAGGCAAUGCUUAUGUGGAAGCUGAAAGUAUUGGCAAUGGUAUUGGUGUUGUGAAGCUAAUGGGACACUACAGUGCAAGUUCAUAAUAGGAAGUUGCGAUACAAAGCUCCUAGAACUGUUGGAUUGUAAAGAUUGCUCAACUCUUGGGCAUUGUAUGCUUAUGUAAGGUAACUUUUUUUCCUUCUCCAACUAUGUAUGAACUAUCAAAAGUUAUACG